rnacentral:hammerhead_ribozyme from 1 species
AUCCAGCUGACGAGUACCAAAUAGGACGAAACGCGUGUCCUGAAU